rfam:Crassostrea gigas strain 05x7-T-G4-1.051#20 contig14734, whole genome shotgun sequence.
GUUACGGCAUUUUUCAAUGCCACAAACAUAGAAUAUCCAAAAAAG